CCGAAAGGCGUAGUCGAUGGGAAAAUGGUUAAUAUUCCAUUACUUCUGUGUAAUGCGAUGAGAGGACGGAGAAGGCUAAAUCAGCCUGGCGUUGGUUGUCCAGGUGAAAGGAUGUAGGCAUGUAUCUUAGGCAAAUCCGGGGUACUCUAUGCUGAGAUCUGAUAGCAAGCUGUACUUGUACAGCGAAGUGGUUGAUGCCAUGCUUCCAGGAAAAGUCUCUAAGCUUCAGUUACACAGGAAUCGUACCCGAAACCGACACAGGUGGUCAGGUCGAGUAGACCAAGGCGCUUGAGAGAACUCUGCUGAAGGAACUAGGCAAAAUGGUACCGUAACUUCGGGAGAAGGUACGCUGUUGUUGGUGAUGGAACUCGCUUCCUGAGCUGACGACAGCCGCAGAAACCAGGCCGCUGCAACUGUUUAUUAAAAACAUAGCACUCUGCAAACACGAAAGUGGACGUAUAGGGUGUGAUGCCUGCCCGGUGCUGGAAGGUUAAUUGAUGGGGUUAGCGUAAGCGAAGCUCUUGAUCGAAGCCCCAGUAAACGGCGGCCGUAACUAUAACGGUCCUAAGGUAGCGAAAUUCCUUGUCGGGUAAGUUCCGACCUGCACGAAUGGCAUAAUGAUGGCGGCGCUGUCUCCAGCAGAGGCUCAGUGAAAUCGAAAUCGCUGUGAAGAUGCAGUGUACCCGCGGCUAGACGGAAAGACCCCGUGAACCUUUACUGCAGCUUGACACUGAACUUUGACCUUACUUGUGUAGGAUAGGUGGGAGGCUUUGAAGCUGGAACGCUAGUUCCAGUGGAGCCGUCCUUGAAAUACCACCCUGGUAAUGUUGAGGUUCUAACUCUGUCCCGUGAUCCGGGACGAGGACCGUGUCUGGUGGGUAGUUUGACUGGGGCGGUCUCCUCCUAAAGAGUAACGGAGGAGUACGAAGGUGCGCUCAGCGUGGUCGGAAAUCACGCGUAGAGUAUAAAGGCAAAAGCGCGCUUAACUGCGAGACCCACAAGUCGAGCAGGUACGAAAGUAGGUCUUAGUGAUCCGGUGGUUCUGUAUGGAAGGGCCAUCGCUCAACGGAUAAAAGGUACUCUGGGGAUAACAGGCUGAUACCGCCCAAGAGUUCAUAUCGACGGCGGUGUUUGGCACCUCGAUGUCGGCUCAUCUCAUCCUGGGGCUGAAGCAGGUCCCAAGGGUAUGGCUGUUCGCCAUUUAAAGAGGUACGCGAGCUGGGUUUAGAACGUCGUGAGACAGUUCGGUCCCUAUCUACCGUGGGCGCUGGAAAUUUGAGAGGAUCUGCUCCUAGUACGAGAGGACCAGAGUGGACGAACCUCUGGUGUACCGGUUGUGACGCCAGUCGCAUCGCCGGGUAGCUAUGUUCGGAAGGGAUAACCGCUGAAAGCAUCUAAGCGGGAAGCCUACCUCAAGAUAAGAUUUCCCUAGGACUUUAUGUCCUCUAAAGAGCCGUUCGAGACUAGGACGUUGAUAGGUUGGAUGUGGAAGCAUAGUGAUAUGUGAAGCUGACCAAUACUAAUUGCUCGUGAGGCUUGACUA
rnacentral:rRNA from 1 species